rnacentral:rRNA from 1 species
GAUGUGUAGGAUAGGUGGGAGGCUUUGAAGUGUGGACGCCAGUCUGCAUGGAGCCGACCUUGAAAUACCACCCUUUAAUGUUUGAUGUUCUAACGUGGACCCGUAAUCCGGGUUGCGGACAGUGUCUGGUGGGUAGUUUGACUGGGGCGGUCUCCUCCUAAAGAGUAACGGAGGAGCACGAAGGUUGGCUAAUCCUGGUCGGACAUCAGGAGGUUAGUGCAAUGGCAUAAGCCAGCUUGACUGCGAGCGUGACGGCGCGAGCAGGUGCGAAAGCAGGUCAUAGUGAUCCGGUGGUUCUGAAUGGAAGGGCCAUCGCUCAACGGAUAAAAGGUACUCCGGGGAUAACAGGCUGAUACCGCCCAAGAGUUCAUAUCGACGGCGGUGUUUGGCACCUCGAUGUCGGCUCAUCACAUCCUGGGGCUGAAGUAGGUCCCAAGGGUAUGGCUGUUCGCCAUUUAAAGUGGUACGCGAGCUGGGUUUAGAACGUCGUGAGACAGUUCGGUCCCUAUCUGCCGUGGGCGCUGGAGAACUGAGGGGGGCUGCUCCUAGUACGAGAGGACCGGAGUGGACGCAUCACUGGUGUUCGGGUUGUCAUGCCAAUGGCACUGCCCGGUAGCUAAAUGCGGAAGAGAUAAGUGCUGAAAGCAUCUAAGCACGAAACUUGCCCCGAGAUGAGUUCUCCCUGAGACUUAGAGUCUCCUGAAGGAACGUUGAAGACGACGACGUUGAUAGGCCGGGUGUGUAAGCGCAGCGAUGCGUUGAGCUAACCGGUACUAAUGAACCGUGAGGCUUAACCUU